CAGUCGCCACGGUAAUACAGAGGGUGCAAGCGUUAAUCGGAAUUACUGGGCGUAAAGCGCGCGUAGGUGGUUCGCCAAGUUGGAUGUGAAAUCCCCGGGCUCAACCUGGGAACUGCAUCCAAAACUGGCGAGCUAGAGUAUGGUAGAGGGUGGUGGAAUUUCCUGUGUAGCGGUGAAAUGCGUAGAUAUAGGAAGGAACAUCAGUGGCGAAGGCGACCACCUGGACUGAUACUGACACUGAGGUGCGAAAGCGUGGGAAGCAAACAGGAUUAGAUACCCCAGUAGUCCCUGUCUCUUAUAA
rnacentral:rRNA from 1 species